GCCUCUAUAGCUCAGUGGUAGAGCGUUGCACUUGUACCCCUGGUACGGUUCCGCAUAGCGUGCCAUGCAAAGGUCCAUAGUUCGAUCCUGUGUGGAGGCU
rnacentral:tRNA from 1 species